rnacentral:rRNA from 1 species
GACAGAGGCCUCAAGCGUUAGGCGGAAUCACUGGGCUUAAAGCGUGUGUAGGCGGAUCGUUAAGUACCUUGUGAAAUCCCACGGCUCACCCGUGGAACUGCUGGGUAUACUGGCGAUCUUGGGCCAACUAGGGGCAGCUGGAACAAGCGGUGGAGCGGUGAAAUGCGUAGAUAUCGCUUGGAACGCCAAAGGUGAAAACAGGCUGCUGGGGUUGUGCCGACGCUGAGACACGAAAGCCAGGGGAGCGAACGGGG